rnacentral:rRNA from 3 species
UAAGGUGGUUAUUGCGGCGGGGCUCACCUCUUCCCAUUCCGAACAGAGUAGUUAAGCCCGCCUGCGCAGAUGGUACUGCAAACCUGUGGGAGAGUAUGUCGCCGCCUUUC